AGAUAUAUUACUGUUUACAUGCAGGCAGUAUUCCUGAGAAAGAUGCGCACUGUAGAAGCAAUUGCCUUUUUAAAAAGAUUUACUGCUGUUAGUCAACGCCAAAGUAUUCAGCCAAUGAUUACUGAAUGCUAUGUGGAAGCUUUGAAUUGGUUUUAUGAUGAAAUUAAAGAAGUUCAAGAGACCUAUGAAAGACACAAGGAUGACCCCAUAUUACCCAGGAAUAUCCCCCCUG